AAUAGUUCAUCCAAAAAUUACAAUUCGCUCUUGAUUUAGUCAGCCUUCUGUUUCCAAAGUAUUUUAACUUUUCUUUCUUCUGCAGAUAUUUUGAAGAACCUACAGGUCAAACAAUUCUGAACUCAACUGACUUUAUUCGAAAUUUUUGUCCUCCACAGAAGAAGGAAAGUCAUAUAUACGUUUGGAACAACAUAAUGCUCUUCUACGAAGCCAGACGUCUCGCUCCAGCAGUGGUGAAUUCCAGGAACAAAUAAGACAGAACUGAGUCAGCUUAUGAAAAAUGAUAACUUAAACCAGCAUGCAGAUGUUCUGCUCCUUCAAAAUGGUUGCCAGUGAACAGACACAGAUUUGGAAGUCCCUGAUCCAGUUACAGCAAUAAUG